ACCAGAUUCAAGUAAUGUCAGAUGGGAGCUCUUACAGUUGUAAAUUUGGGGAAGAAGAAUCUGAUCCAAUCACGCUAAGAACUGAACCUAAACCAAAGGCCCAGCUGAGAGACACAGUUACAGGAGGGGGCAAUGUGACCCUGACUUGCUCUGUAGCACCAUCAUCUUCUUCUGGUUGGAAAUACUUCUGGUACAAAAAAGAGAAAACCUCUGAACCCCUGAACACACCAGAUGGUAUCCUCAGUGUGUCACGAGGAGGCGUCUACUGGUGCAGAGGAGGAAGAGGAGACCCUCUUUACUACACAGAGUACAGCGAUGGACUCGUCACAAACCAGGCUGUUGUGACCCUGCAACCCAACUGGCCUGAGAUAUACUCUGGAGAAACAGUUACUCUAACGUGUGAAAUUAAGGAUGGAGGAGAACAUGAGUGGGAGUAUUCAUGGAUGAUACCCGGGUCAGACGCAGCUCAGACAUCUCACUUUGCUCCUUCAUCAAAAAGUGGAGACUACAGGUGUCUGGGCAAACUGAAAGGUGAAAUGUCUCUAACACCGUGGAGUGAAGUUCUCACAUUGAAAGUAUCUGACAAGAGACUUCAGCCUGUCCUCACUGUGUCUCCAUCAUGGCUGAGUCCUGGAGCCUCAGUAACUCUGAACUGCAGGGUUGAUCAUCCUUCUGCUGGCUGGAGGUUCUACUGGUAUAAGGCUGCUCCCAGACUGUCAGACAGCUCCUACAGCUAUGAGCUGCUAGCUGGCAGCGCCAGUGGGACUGAACAGGAUCUCUACAUCGUUGAUGGACAGACACACACAGCAGGAUAUGUGUGCAGAGCAGGAAGAGGAGAUCCAGUGUUUUACAGUCUGCAGAGCAGUGCUGCGUUCCUCUGGUCUGGAGAUAUUAACUCAGCAGCGUCUCUCACAGUGAGUCCUGACAGUGUGCAGCACUUCACCCAAACGUCUGUGUCACUGAGCUGUGACGGAAACUCCACUGAGUGGAGAGUGAUGAGGUUCUCGGAAUCUGUCCACCAUUAUCCCUGUUCUUCUUGGGGGACAAUGACUGGAUCCACAUGCAAAAUAACCAGAAACUGGUUUAGUGGAGUGUACUGGUGUGAGUCUGAAACCGGACAGUUCAGUAAUGCAGUCAACAUCAGUACACAGUAUGGUGAUCUGAUGCUGGUGAGCCCUGUCCGUCCGGUGGCUGAGGGACGUUCUGUCACUCUUAGCUGCGAGUUCAAGACAGAAACCGUUUAUAAUGUGGAUUUCUAUAAGAAUGACAAACUCAUCCAGAACGAUACCAGAAGAGAGAUGACCAUCCCUGCAGUGUCAAAGUCAGAUGAAGGCUUUUAUAAAUGUAAACGGAGAGAUUCAGUAUAUGGUAGCACGUCACAGAGCUGGUUGUCAGUCAAAUCAGCGUCUCAGCCUGGAAAAGACUCUCAAUUUCCCGUCCUGCUGAUCGUUGGGCUGCUUUGUGGAGUUUUACUGAUAGUUCUCCUGCUGCUGUUCCUGUAUCGCUGCAGAAAAUCAAAAGAUUCGGUCCCCAUCAGAUCUCAGAGCACCAAUCAGGGCCCUGCUACAGACCACAAGAUCAACCAGGAUGAAAGUCAUCAUCAACAAUAUUCUGCUCUUCUCCAGGCUGAUCGUUGUCUCUAUGAAGUAAUCGGACAGCCUGUAGAAGCUGGAAAUGGUACAGUAUUUCAUUUGUGUUUAACAGGCAGCAGUUACAAAUACUACAUGCAGUGGUUGAGAUGCUUUUGUAGGUCAGCAGUGUCUGAAUAAAGUACAGGAGAUGUCCUUUGAUGCAUUAUUUUAAUCCUUCUAACAGGUGCCAGUAAUACACCAGAACAGAGCCUUUACUCAAACGUGGCAGCAGAUGAGUAAAGACUUCCACAUGGACAGAACCAAUGGAACGGAUACAAACAUGAAGCUUCCUUGUUUCAGCAAUUGAGUGAAUUUGCCGAUUUGUGUAAAUAGUGCAGAGGCCUUUCUAGGAACAUGCUGAAUGCUUUGCACUUCAACUGUAUACUGCCAUGAUCCUUGUUUAGGGUCUGUUUCCUGUUUUAUUUUGAAAUGUUUUCCCCUCUUGUGUCAUGUUUAGCUUCACUUCCUGUCUGUGUUUCCCUCCUGCAGUGUUGUAGUCAAGUCACUAUGACUCGAGUCCCAAGGCCAGGUUCAAGUCUCCGGUGUUCAAGUCUGAGUUGAGUCCACGACUCAUCCAAUUCAAGUCUGAGUCGUAUCCCUAUUGAUCAAGUCCGGGGGGGGGGGGGACACGAUAGCAGAGCGAACAGGUACAGGAGGCCUAGAGCAAGGAGAUCAUUGUCCACUAGUUAAUCGACCGCGGAUAGCGUCGUGCUCGCGGACGGAUUAAAAUAGAUAAAAGGGUCGCGAAAUACACUUGGGCGGCCGUUAAUAUACCUGGGUGGCCCGCCCAAGUAAAGUGUAUGUGUGGGAAACCCUGUGUUGUUAAACUUUAAAAAAACAUACUGUGGUCCCGCAGCUCAUAGGCGUGUCCUAAUGGCGGGCGCUGUGAACUUUCAUAUGCAUUGAAAGGGCCAAUAAGAGAGCUUGACACACAGACCGUUCACAGAGAUGUUUGCGUCAAGCUCUAUUAUUGGCCCCGAGCUCCGGCUGUGAAUCACGUAGGAUCUCGCCGGAGAAUGCAUCGGAAAGAAGAGAGUCUACCGAUUCCGGCAGCAUUUCUACGCCGUAUUAUGGCAUAAAUGUUAAUAGAAACAUAUCGAAAACGUUGCGAAAACGCACUGUGGCGUUCAUCGUCCUCAGGGUUUUAAUGACAAAGUCGAGUCCUUUCGAGUCAUCGCGAGUCCGAAUACACGAGUCCAAGUCCAAGUUCAAGUCAUUAGUGCUCAAGUCCAAGUCAAGUCACGAGUCUCUAAAUUUAGCUCACGAGUCGGACUACAACACUGCCCUCCUGUGCCUGAUUGUGUCAUUGUGUUCACCUGUUGCCCCUGUGUUUCUCCUCCCCUCUCCAGCUGCGUCUUGUCUUGUGAUUACCCUUGUGUAUUUAGUCUCUGUUGCCCUUUUGUCUCUUGUUCGGUUGUCGUCGUUUCCCACCUGAUCUUGUCCAUGUUACCUGCCUGUUCCUGUCCGUCCGUCUGUCUGCUCCUGUUCCUGGUGUCCCUGUGUCCCCUGGUUAGUGUAGGUGAGGUUUUUCUUUGUUUGAAAGUACAGCUUUAAUUUGAAUAAAGCUCGCCUUUUGUUUGGACCUGUA